UCCUGCUAUUGUCAGCAAAGGAGAAAGGUGAUACAGGAUUGGAAACUCUACUGGUUAGUCAUUGCUAGGAAUAAUAAUAAUUACUGUAAUAAUAAAGUGAAGCUUGCAGAAAUUGAAGCUGUGGUUACCUUCGCGCAGAACACCAAUGCUUUAAGUAGGCGAACCAGACUUAGAAAAGUAGAAUGAGGCAUCUGGAACUCUGUGAUUUAUCAAUGAGAGUCAAGGGACGAAGACACAACCUGUGUCCCUUCUCGGGUCUGUGACAAACACUGGAGCCCAGGAAAAACUCGGGGCAGACAAAUGACCCCCCAGGGAAGGAGUGAGCUCGUUUAGUGCCCUUUCUCCAGCCAUUCCACAUCAGCAAGUGCUGGGGAAUCAUUCCAAACGGCUUCAAGUAACGGAGUAUUUCAAUCUCAAAUCGCUUCACUCGCCCUCAAAUGGACAUUUCAUCAACUCGAAGCGCCUGGAUUCAAUUAACCUAUUUUCUUUAGACGUGGGCAGGAAAGCGGCGCACACACGGAGCCGCUAACACGGGCGGACCCCAGCGGCAGCUCCAGACGUCCCGGGAGCGGCGUUCAGCUUCAGCGGCUCAUCCGGAAUCAGACCGAGCUCCAGCUAACACACACGGAGCGAAACACACAGCGAGAACACGCCGGAGAGGGGAACAGAUUUCCGCUUAAGCGGCACAGCGCCCCGAAAAGCACGGCUGAAGGCGACAGAGGAGCGCGGCGCCCGACUGCUCAGCCCACACAGCCCCGCCGCCAAGUCCGCCCUGCCCCGGCUCCUACCUGAGCCCCACACCUGCCGGCCGCAGGGAGCGACAGAAGUCGGACGGGAACGGCGAGCACAAGCGCAAAGAGCGACUCUUAACUGCGCCGGGAAGAGAAGCAGCGCGUCCAGCAGCACCACGGCUCGGCACGCCGGAUCGGGGACGAACCCGAGCGGGGCUGGGGGCGGGACCGCCGCUCCGGAUUGACAGCAACCCCGGUUUAGCCAUCAAAUCGAUUUGCGGUGCCCAAGAUGCAAAUGCAUUUGCUGACAGCUCAUCCGAGACGUCUGCCAAGCGCUCAGCAGGUGUCAAAGAGUUUCAGGACAGGAGUCAUGUAAGUGUGGAACUCAGCUGUCAGCUCUGAAAACCAAGUCCUGGUCUCAGUCUGAGCUGUCAGACAUAUGUCAGGAGACAGAACAGCACAUACAACAUCCUUGCUGGGGGAGUUUGCUAACCCUACUGCUAACAUCAUGGAAGAAGAAAGUGCAACAAAGAUGAUUCUUACUUUCAGUAUUCCCGUGGAGGUAUGUGAGAGUAGCCUUAACUUUUAAACAUAACCUAAAUUAAACAGCAACAACAGCAACAAAUCAUGAAACAACAGCUUGUUUCCAAUUCAGCAUCAGAAGCAUACAGCAUUUUAAAUUAGCCUGAGAAAUGAGAGGACAUAGUAAGAUGUAAUUCUCUCCUCUGAUGCUCUAUAUUCUGCAAAUUCAUUAUAUUUACGUGCUGUAUUAAGCAGAUUGAGGAGCUGCUGUCAGCCAAUAGCAGGAAAUAAACAAAAGGGUGCAAGGAUAUAUUUGGAGAGU
rnacentral:lncRNA from 1 species